rnacentral:lncRNA from 1 species
GAAAAGAAAACAGACAGAAAAAGGUUGUCGGAAAUUUGGAAUUCAUAAGACUGAGAAAGUCACUUGCCUCGUGCUAGAAUCUUGUACAUUUUUCUAUUUCAUCUAAAAAAGUGGUUGGAAUACGUAUAGAUUGAGAAAGUCCCUUGUAAACUUUAAUACGGAAGAGAAAAAGGGAAAUUAUUAAGCAAAAGACAAUUGGUGGUCUUUUGCUUGUUGCAUCUAGAUAUUUUUAUGAUGUGGUUCAUUUAGGUGUUUAAACUCUCUAUUGAACAUAGUGUAAGAAAGCUACAAGAACAAAUUUGGACCACGAAAGCGGAUGUGGCCACUGGCCAAACACGUCCUCAACUUGGCCCACUCAAGGUACUAAAUAUUAGCCGAUAUGUAUCUAAAUUUUGACAUUUUGAUAUGAAUAUUUUAGUAAAUAUCAAUCCAGACAGUCUGAUAUAAGCCGAUACAAGGCUAUAUUACCGAUACAAUUACUGAUACUGCGAUUUAGGCUGUCCAUUUAACCAACUCUAUAAUUGAAAAAGAGGAGAAGAAGAAAAAAAAACGUAAAAGAAUAGUGGCAAUGCUGUUAUGUCUAGAAGUUCACUCAAAGGGAGAGAACACAAGAAAUUUCCAUCUCCAUCGCAGAACCUAUUUCUUUGAUGGCAUAUCUACACUAAGUUCUAUAGUAAAGUGUUUUGAGUUCACACCUCUUUAGAGUUUCUGAAAAAUAAAAAUGCCACCUGGCUUUUUUUUAGAUCUCCUCUCUCAUAAGAAAGAAUUGCUAAAUAAUGAACUAAAAAUAAAACACUACGUGGAUGUUUGAUAACUGUUUUAUUUUAAUUUUUUUAUUUUUAUUUUGUUUAAUUUAUAAAUAAAAAUAGAAAACUUGUUUGUGUUGCAAAAAAUAAAUAAAAAUAAAGCAAAAUUAAUUGCACUAUUUUUGAAAAUAGUAAAAACAAGAAAAAGUUAUUUUUGUUUUGUUUACAAAAAAAUUUGGAUGAAUUUUUUUUGUAAAUUUUUCCAAUCACCUCAACCGCCUCCGCCUCCGCCUCCUUCACCACCACCACCACCGCCGCCGCCACCAUCUUUUUUUAAAAUAAUUUAAAAAUAGGUGAACACAAAUAUAUUUUUGUGUAAAAAUAAUUUAAAAAUAGGUGAACACAAACAUAUUUUUAGUUUCUGUUUUACAAAAAACAAAACAAAAGAAAAUAAAAAUUAAACAAAUACAAAAAAAAAUAGAAAAGUAAAAGUAAGAAAAGUUAUUUUUGUUUUGUUUAAAAAAAAAAAAUUCAUCCAAAUUUUUUCAAUCACCUCCGCCAUCACCUUCGCCACCACCAGCGCCACUUUCAUCUCCGCUACCAUCACCUCCUCCACCGCCACCGCUACUUUUUUUUUUAAAUAGUUUCAGAAAAUGUGAACACAAAUAUAUUUUUAUUUUUAAAUAUUUUAAAAAUAGGUGAACACAAACAUAUUUUUUAUUUUUAUUUUAUAAAAAACAAAACAAAACAAAAAUUAAAUAAACACAAAAAAUAGAAAAAUAAAAACGUUAUCAAACAUCCUCUACGUGUUCCAAACCAGUCAAAUCGCUACGCAUCCGAAUGACCCAUAGUCAAUUUCUAGGGUUUUCAUUUCAGCUGCAUACCCAUGGGUGAAUGGAUGAUCUAAGAGAUGUGAAUGGCUCGGGUUUUCAUUUCUCGGGGUUAUCGGCUUGAAUUUUUUGCUUUUUAUUAACCAGGUUAUUAGAUUUAUUUUGAUUGUCAUGUUUUUUAUUUCUUAUUUUCCAGCUGUGUAUUAUAACUGAGUUAUGUAUAUUUUGCUGAAAUGAAGAAAUGAACAACAUCUGAAAUGAAGAAAUGAACAACAUUAGAAGAAUAUGGAACAUGUUGAAUUUGUAGAGUCCAUGAGCCAGGUCCCUUUUCAUGGACUGGGGCUAGAUCCAUUUUCUCUGCUACUCAUUCUGCAGGUGGAGUUCACCAUAUAAAUAAAUAAUUAAGGCCCCGUUUGGCCCAAAAAAGUUUUUGAGAUAUUUUAGUUGCUUUGAUUUUUGAGAUUUUUUCGCUUCUAGUAAAUUUUUUUAAUCGUUUGAUCAAAAUUUUAUAUUUUGUUGUUCUUUUUAACGAGAAAAGUCUGAAAAUAUAAAAAUCUUUAUCUAAUUUAGAAAGAUGUUCACGAAAGUGAAAAAAGUAACACUUUUUUACUUGAUAAAUUAGCUAAAUUUUUAUCUUUUAAUAGAUUUCUUAUUCCAAAUUUAAACAAUCUUUUUUCAUUUUCGGAUUUUCUCGUCAAUAAGAAAAGAAAAAGUAUAUUUUUUUUCUUAAACAGAGAAAAAGUUCACAAAAAGAUGGAAAAAUUUCAAAAUCAAGCACCUAAAAAUCUAGAUUGUAUGAAUCUAUAAUAAAAACUGUUAAAACAAUUUUUAAUUAAAAAUAAUAUAUUUCUUCUUUUAAAAUGGAGAACUGGAUCGAAGAUUCUUAUAAGUAGCUUCGAACUUAUUUCAUCUAAUACCAUCAUA